UAUCACUGUUGGGUGCGCUGCCUAUAAAGGUGGGUGGUUGUGCACUGGGAGCACUCUUGCCUGGGAGCUCCUGGCUGCCCCGCCCCCUGUUGUCACCGAAACCUGAUCGCCUCACCUGAUCGCCUUUUAGUUGGAUCGUGCAGCUCGCCGUUGUUUGGCAGUUUAUUGGCCGGGUCUUCCCUCUCCCGUAUCGACCCCAGUUGUAGGGCGUGCGAGUGUUUCCUCCUCUACCUGUUGCAGCGGGGAGCGAUCGGCUGUAGAUCGAGUUGCACUUGUAAUGGUGUUGCUCGCUACAGGUGGUCCCCUUCCUCCCCUUUGAUGUUCAUUCAACUCCUGACGGGUUGACGUGUGUGUGGGCGGUUUCUGCCAGCACGUCCCCCCCCCUCUUCACGCUGCUGUUGGCCGGCUGCCGUUUUGUCCACUGAUUAUAUAGCCAACACAUCGAUCCUACUCUGCAUCUCCUACUGUGCUGUACCUGCCCCGAGUAUGGUGAUUGCUGCCUCACCCUAAGUCUCAUUAUUUUGAUCCAUUCAUUUAACAGACUUCCAACUGAUCUUAUUGAUGAUAUUAUUUGUGUUUUGUGGGUUGCUUUGCAUGUUUGUUUUGGCUUAAUUGCUUUACUUAUCCAUGAUAUUAUUUGUGUUUUGUGGGUUGCUUUGCAUGGUUGUUUUGGUUUAAUUCGUUUUCUUAGUUAUUUUGGUUUGGUUUAAUUGCUUUACUUAUUCAUUUGGAUUUAUCAGUUUGGAUAAAUCUCCUUUACUUUUGAUUUAAAACCCAUUUAGUUAUUUGCUCUUCCCUUUUUGUGUAUUUUGUGUGUGUGUGUGUGUUCGCUUUAGUGUGUUUGUGUGAACAUAUUUUAUUGAGAAGUCAUGCUUAAAGAUUAUAUAUAUUAAUUAAAAGGAAUUGAAUUUGUAUGCUGGACCCAGUCUCAAGCUUUCAUUAGUGAACGAACUUGUGUGCUUUAACUUAGGUUAAUCUAACUCUCCAGGUGAAAUUCCUGGGGUGGCGUUGUUGGCAACUUGUCACUAGUUCUUUAACUGAGCUUCAUUUUAUUGUUUCCCCGACCCCCGAAUGCCACACCAGCAUAACUCCUCUGUAUAAUUUCAAGACA